UGAAAAUGGAUGGCGCUGUAGCGUCGUGCCUAUACUCGGCCGUCAACGGCACAGGGGGCGGCACCUUCGCGGGUGCCGGGCCGUUACGCCUUGACGAGUAGGAGGGUCGCGGCGGUGGGCGCAGAAGGGUCUGGGCGUGAGCCUGCCUGGAGCCGCCGUUGGCGCAGAUCUUGGUGGUAGUAGCAAAUACUCCAGCGAGGACCUGGAGGACUGACGUGGAGAAGGGUUUCUUGUGAACAGCUGUUGCACAAGAGUCAGUCGAUCCUAAGCCCUAGGAGAAAUCCUAUGUCGAUGGGAAGCCGUUGAAAAUAGAAGGCGCAAUGCGCUCUUAUAUUGGAAGGCGACCCACGGGGCGAAAGGGAAUCCGGUUCCUAUUCCGGAACCCGGCUGCGGAACCGUUCAUAAGCGGGCCCUCAUCCGAGAGCUCGACGGGGCAACCCGAAGAGACCCGGAGACGCCGGCGGGAGGUCCGGAGAGAGUUUUCUUUUCUCUAUAAGCGUUCGAGUUCCCUGGAAGCCUAUAGCAGGGAGAUAGGGUUUGGAACGCGAAGAGCACCGCAGUUGCGGCGGUGUCCGGAUCUUCCCCUCGGACCUUGAAAAUCCGGGAGAGGGCUACGCGGAAUGUCCGCGCCGGAUCGUACCCAUAUCCGCAGCAGGUCUCCAAGGUUAAGAGCCUCUAGUCGAUAGAAUAAUGUAG
rnacentral:rRNA from 1 species